rnacentral:rRNA from 1 species
CACGUAGGGUGCGAGCGUUGUCCGGAAUUAUUGGGCGUAAAGAGCUCGUAGGCGGUUUGUUGCGUCGGCUGUGAAAACCUGAGGCUCAACCUCAGGCCUGCAGUCGAUACGAGCAGACUAGAGUGUUGCAGGGGAGACUGGAAUUCCUGGUGUAGCGGUGAAAUGCGCAGAUAUCAGGAGGAACACCGGUGGCGAAGGCGGGUCUCUGGGCAACAACUGACGCUGAGGAGCGAAAGCGUGGGGAGCGAACAGG